GGUCCGGAUUAGGACUCGAUUAAUGAAGGAGAGCUCCACUUUUAUUUCUCACUUGCACGUUGGUGGAGAACCGGAACUCCAAGGUAGGGCUCCAUCUAGGUCAAUUCUUCUUCGCGAGCGAGAGGACGUACGUCGCUGCCGAGUUCGACGCCAGGAUUUGGAAUCCCAGAAGAAGAUGGCAAGGAAAUCGAGCCCUGAGAUAGAUGAUGAACUUUUUAAUGAAGUUUAUGGCAAGGAGUAUACUGGGCCGCCAGGAUCAACUGCCAAUAAUGUGUCAGCAAAGGGAAAUACAAACAAGAGGCCUUCUGCUGGUACUCAAUCUGACGAGGAAGAUGAGCCUCGAGAUCCUAAUGCUGUUCCAACUGAUUUUACUAGCAGAGAGGCUAAGGUAUGGGAAGCUAAAGCUAAGGCGACGGAAAGGAACUGGAAGAAAAGAAAAGAAGAAGAAAUGAUCUGCAAAAUUUGUGGAGAAUCAGGUCAUUUUACUCAGGGAUGCCCAUCUACUCUUGGAAGUAACCGUAAGUCAGCAGAUUUUUUUGAAAGAGUGCCAGCAAGAGACAAAAAUGUAAGAGCCCUUUUCUCUGAAAAGGUGAUAAGUCAAAUUGAAAGGGAUGUUGGUUGUAAGAUAAAAAUGGAUGAAAAGUUUCUGAUUGUCAGUGGGAAAGAUAGACUAAUACUGGCUAAAGGUGUAGAUGCUGUGCACAAAGUGAUUCAAGAGGAUAAGGGCAAAAGUAGAAGCCCUACUGGUUCAAACAGGACACGAUCCAGAUCUCCUGAUGAAAGUCCCAGGGGUGCUGAACUAAGACGUUCUGAAUCUCAAAGGUCUCAUUCUAGUCCGAGAAAUACAUCACGCUUUCAAAGCAGGGGUUUCAAUCAGGACAGGCAUGUUCAAGAUCAUGUACGUGAAGGUUCACAGAAAUUGAGGGGUUCUUCGCAAGCAAGAGCUUAUGCUAAUGAUGGGGGAAAAGGCCGUCCAGCUCGUUCAAAAUCUCCACUACGCUCCUCUUUUGGUGGUGAUGUGUAUAGACCUUACGAUGGGCACAGUCAUAAUACCGGGUUGCACAAGAGUGGUAACUGGGAUAUUGAGAGGCAUGGAAUGGAUUCUCAUUCGGAACGCAAAUUUGACUUCCCUAAUUACCCGCAGACCUUAGAAGAACUAGAAAUGGAGUUUAAGAGGGAGGUGAUGGAAUUGGGAAGGGUCCGUGACCAAGAAGAGGAUGAAGAAAACUACAAACAUCGGGAGUGCAUAAGAGAACUGAGAGAGAAUUACGUGAAGAAGCUGGCAAUCAUAAGGGGCGUGCACAAAAGACAGUGGGAAGAAUUUCUUCGGCUUGAUAUCCAAAUGCGGCAGCAAGCACAGCAGACAGCUUAUAACCAGCCAGCUUACCCAGGUUAUGAUCAGGCCUCACGGAAUGUGCAGUAUAUGGGAUCUGGUUUACCUAUGGAUUCAAGAAGCAGAUACGCAUACCCUGGUGAGAACUAUUCAGCUUCAAGGCCUCAUGAUGCCUAUAGUGAGUUCCAGCAUCAGAGGCAUGAAAGUUUUGGGAAGGCAUAUGGACGAUAUUAAGUAGUAUCGGAUCUGUUGGGUGCAUCUUUGGGGUUUCAACAUUAAUGCAGGAUGCUGGUUUCAUGAUGCCUUUUUGAGUUGGGGAAAAAGGUUUGCGUUGGAUAUUAUUGGAUAAUAUCUGCUUCCAUUGGCGUGAGAUAUGGGUCUGUCUUGUCGCUAGGGAUAUUAAACGUAGUUGGAAAAAAUGUUGGGUACAGUGAUGUGUUCUUUUCCUUCUUAGAUUGUAAACAGUAGCAGAUUGAUCUUUAAUUAUAUAUGACCCAUGUGACAUAUGUGGACUUUCAUAAGGUUUCUUGCUUAUGCUCUUCAAGCAAACUAUGCGAAAUCUGCAGGUAUGUGAUUUUCUGACUGAUAAAGGGUAAUCUUGGUAAGGAAACGCUGUGAACCGUGGGGUGUUGAACUCAUUCAGAGUAUUAGUCAUGCAUUCUGGUUCCCAUCUCUUGACUUGCCUUGUAUAUUGCUCACUUAAUGGCCCUCUUCUUCACAACAAAGCAGGCAUAUCUCACUACCGAGCAAAAUAUAUCAUUCAAAGGCUGACGCGACUAAUUGCAGAGCUUGUGGGAUUUGUUUUGGGAUUUAACUACAUGAGCCUUCCUCUGUGGCCAAUAGUUGUCAUAUAGGUCCGUAUGUACAAAUUGUGGACUCAUGGUAAUGAAUUGCCAAAUUCUGAUGCCCUUGAAGCUGCAAUAUUAGCGGCCCAACGUGGGUACAGGUAAUUGCUUUUCUACCUUUUAUGAGUGGUGUAUUCUUCAUCAAGGACUUUGGGCAUAUCUUUCCCUACGGAGGCGUUAGCUCACAUUGAUGCAUCGUUACAUCUGAAAUUUCAGCAGUGGCAACGAGUAACAGUUUUCAGUAGUUACUUUGAUCAUGACAUGGUUGAAUCCCAUUCAGAUUUGCUUUGGGUGUGUUCUAUGACCUUUCAUGAGAAAUGUGUUCAUUCUCUCAUGUGGUACUAUCGAAGUCUUUUUAUUCUUCGGUUC